rnacentral:rRNA from 1 species
GUAGGGAAUCUUCCACAAUGGACGAAAGUCUGAUGGAGCAAUGCCGCGUGAGUGAAGAAGGUCUUCGGAUCGUAAAACUCUGUUGUUAGAGAAGAACGUGCAUGAUAGUAACUGAUCAUGUAAUGACGGUAUCUAACCAGAAAGCCACGGCUAACUACGUGCCAGCAGCCGCGGUAAUACGUAGGUGGCAAGCGUUGUCCGGAUUUAUUGGGCGUAAAGGGAACGCAGGCGGUUUUUUAAGUCUGAUGUGAAAGCCUUCGGCUUAACCGAAGAAUAGCAUUGGAAACUGGAAGACUUGAGUGCAGAAGAGGAGAGUGGAAUUCCAUGUGUAGCGGUGAAAUGCGUAGAUAUAUGGAGGAACACCAGUGGCGAAAGCGGCUCUCUGGUCUGUAACUGACGCUGAGGUUCGAAAGCGUGGGUAGCAAACAGGAUUAGAAACCCCUGUAGUCC